rnacentral:rRNA from 1 species
AUUCCAGCUCCAAUAGCGUAUAUUUAAGUUGUUGCAGUUAAAAAGCUCGUAGUUGGAUUUCGGGCCCAGGUGACCGGUCCGCCGUUUCGGUGUGCACUGGUUAGCUCGGUCUUUCUGCCGGGGACACGCUCCGUCUUAAUUGCCGGACGUGGAGUCGGCGAUGUUACUUUGAAAAAAUUAGAGUGUUCAAAGCAGGCUUACGCUCUGAAUACUAUAGCAUGGAAUAACACGAUAGGACUCCGAGCCUAUUUUGUUGGUCUUCGGGACCGGAGUAAUGAUUAAGAGGGACAGUUGGGGGCAUUCGUAUUACGGUGUCAGAGGUGAAAUUCUUGGAUUUCCGUAAGACGAACUUCUGCGAAAGCAUUUGCCAAGGAUGUUUUCAUUG